rnacentral:rRNA from 1 species
AGUGAACGCUGGCGGUAGGCCUAACACAUGCAAGUCGAACGGCAGCACAGUAAGAGCUUGCUCUUACGGGUGGCGAGUGGCGGACGGGUGAGGAAUACAUCGGAAUCUACUUUUUCGUGGGGGAUAACGUAGGGAAACUUACGCUAAUACCGCAUACGACCUACGGGUGAAAGCAGGGGAUCUUCGGACCUUGCGCGAUUGAAUGAGCCGAUGUCGGAUUAGCUAGUUGGCGGGGUAAAGGCCCACCAAGGCGACGAUCCGUAGCUGGUCUGAGAGGAUGAAGGGCCACAGUGGAACGGAGACACGGUCCAGACGCCUACGGGAGGCGGCAGUCGGGAGUCUGCCGCAAUGGGCGAAGGCCGGACGGAGCAAGGCCGCGGGAGUGAUGAAGACCGUCGGAUCGUAAAACUCUGUUAUGAGGGAAGAACAGAUGGGUAAGGAACUGUGCACAUCUUGACGGUACCUAAUAAGAAAUCCACGGCUAACUACGUG